GCUGGGUGUGGUGGCGCAUGCCUGUAAUCCCAGCUACUUGGGAGGCUGAGGCACGAGAAUCACUUGAACCUGGGAGGUGGAGGUUGCAGGGAGCCGAGAUCGCGCCACUGCACUCCAGCCCAGGUGACAGAGUGAGACUGUGCCUCAA
rnacentral:SRP_RNA from 1 species